rnacentral:rRNA from 1 species
CAGCAGCCGCGGUAAUACGUAGGUCCCGAGCGUUGUCCGGAUUAUUGGGCGUAAAGCGAGCGCAGGCGGUUAGAUAAGUCUGAAGUUAAAGGCUGUGGCUUAACCAUAGUACGCUUUGGAAACUGUUUAACUUGAGUGCAAGAGGGGAGAGUGGAAUUCCAUGUGUAGCGGUAAAAUGCGUAGAUAUAUGGAGGAACACCGGUGGCGAAAGCGGCUCUCUGGCUUGUAACUGACGCUGAGGCUCGAAAGCGUGGGGAGCAAACAGGAUUAGAUACCCCGGUAGUCCCUGUCUCUUAUACAC